UGGGGAAUAUUGCACAAUGGGCGCAAGCCUGAUGCAGCCAUGCCGCGUGUGUGAAGAAGGCCUUCGGGUUGUAAAGCACUUUCAGCGGGGAGGAAGGCGGUGAGGUUAAUAACCUCAUCGAUUGACGUUACCCGCAGAAGAAGCACCGGCUAACUCCGUUCCAGCAGCCGCGGUAAUACGGAGGGUGCAAGCGUUAAUCGGAAUUACUGGGCGUAAAGCGCACGCAGGCGGUCUGUCAAGUCGGAUGUGAAAUCCCCGGGCUCAACCUGGGAACUGCAUUCGAAACUGGCAGGCUAGAGUCUUGUAGAGGGGGGUAGAAUUCCAGGUGUAGCGGUGAAAUGCGUAGAGAUCUGGAGGAAUACCGGUGGCGAAGGCGGCCCCCUGGACAAAGACUGACGCUCAGGUGCGAAAGCGUGGGGAGCAAACAGG
rnacentral:rRNA from 1 species